rnacentral:rRNA from 1 species
UACGUAGGGGGCAAGCGUUGUUCGGAAUUACUGGGCGUAAAGGGCGCGUAGGCGGCACGGCAAGUCGGGAGUGAAAGGCCUGGGCUCAACCGAGGAACUGCUUUCGAGACUGCCGAGCUAGAGUGCGGAAGGGGCAACUGGAAUUCCCAGUGUAGCGGUGAAAUGCGUAGAUAUUGGGAAGAACACCGGAGGCGAAGGCGGGUUGCUGGGCCGACACUGACGCUGAGGCGCGAAAGCCAGGGGAGCGAACAGG